UGCGUAGGUGGAGAUUUAAGUUAGCUGUGAAAUUCCUGGGCUUAACCUGGGGUGGUCAGCUAAGACUGGAUAUCUAGAGUAUAGGAGAGGGUAGUGGAAUUUCCGGUGUAGCGGUGAAAUGCGUAGAGAUCGGAAGGAACACCAGUGGCGAAGGCGGCUACCUGGCCGGAUACUGACACUGAGGCACGAAAGCGUGGGGAGCAAACA
rnacentral:rRNA from 1 species